rnacentral:rRNA from 1 species
UACGUAAGUGGCAAGCGUUGUCCGGAAUUAUUGGGCGUAAAGCGCGCGCAGGCGGUCCUUUAAGUCUGAUGUGAAAGCCCACGGCUCAACCGUGGAGGGUCAUUGGAAACUGGGGGACUUGAGUACAGAAGAGAAGAGUGGAAUUCCACGUGUAGCGGUGAAAUGCGUAGAUAUCUGGAGGAACACCGGUGGCGAAGGCGGCAUCCUGGACCAAUACUGACGCUGAGGAGCGAAAGCCAGGGGAGCAAACGGG